rnacentral:rRNA from 1 species
GUCGGGUUGUUUAGGAAUGUAGCCCAAAUCGGGCGGUGAAUUCCGUCCAAGGCUAAAUAUGGGCGAGUGACCGAUAGCGAACAAGUACCGCAAGGGACUGAUGAAAAGGACUUUGAAAAGAGAGUCAAAGAGUGCUUGAAAUUGUCAAUAGGGAAGCGGAUAGGAGCCGGCGAUGCGCCCCGAUCGAAUCUGGAAUGGCGACGAGUCGGUCCGCCGAUCGACUCGGGGCGUGGACCAGCGUGGAUUCGGGGGUGGCCAAAGAUCGGGCUAUCGAUGCACUCGUGGAACGCCUUCUCCUCGAUUGUGGAAGGCAACAAUUUGUAAACACCACCCGGGCUAUCGAUAUGCACACAAAUUACCCAAUCCGGACAGGGGGAGGUAGUGACAAUAAAUAACAAUACCGGGCUCAAUGAGUCUGGUAAUUGGAAUGAGUACAAUCUAAAUCCCUUAACGAGGAUCCAUUGAAGAAAUUAUAGUGCUCAAAGCAAGCCUACGCUCUUUAUACAUUAGCAUGGGAUAACAUUAUAGGAUUUCAGUCCUAUUACGUUGGCCUUUGGGAUCGGAGUAAUGAUUAACAGGGACAGUCGGGGGCAUUCGUAUUUCAUAGUCAGAGGUGAAAUUCUUGGAUUUAUGAAAGACGAACAACUGCGAAAGCAUUUGCCAAGGAUGUUUUCAUUAAUCAAGAACGAAAGUUGGGGGCUCGAAGAUGAUAAGAUACCAUUCUAGUCUAAACCAUAAACGAUGCUGACCAGGGAUCGGUGGAUGUUGCUUUUAGGACUCCGCCGGUACCUUAUGAGAAAUCAAAGUUUUUUGGUUCCAAGGGGAGUAUGGUCGCAAGGCUGAAACUUGAAGGAAUUGACGGAAGGGAACCACCAGGAGUUGAGCCUACGACUUAAUUUGACUCAACACGGGGAAACUUACCAGGUCCAGACAUAGUAGCGAUUGACAGACUGAGAGCUCUUUCUUGAUUCUAUGGGUGGUGGUGCAUGGUCGUUCUUAGUUGGUGGAGCGAUUUGUCUGGUUAAUUCCGUUAACGAACGNUGAAUGAGACCUCAGCCUUCUAACUAGCUAUGCUGAGGUAUCCCUUAGUGGCCAUCUUCUUAGAGGGACUACGUCCUUUUAGGCUGCGGAAGUUUGAGGCAAUAACAGGUCUAUGAUGCCCUUAGAUGUUCUCGGCCGCACGCGUGCUACACUGAUGUAUUCAACGAGUUUAUAGCCUUAGCCGACAGGCUCGGGUAAUAUUUGAAAUUUCAUCGUGAUGGGGAUAGAUUAUUGCAAUUAUUGGUCUUCAAUGAGGAAUUCCUAUUAAGCGCGAGUCAUCAGCUCACGUUAACUAUGUCCCUGCCCUUUGUACACACUGUCCAUCACUCCUACCGAUUGAAAGAUCCAGUGAAAUGUUUGGAUCACGGCGAUAUGGGCGGUUCGCUGCCUGCGACGUCACGAGAAGUCCAUUGAACCUUAUCAUUUAGUGGAAGGAGAAGUUAUAACAAGGUUUCUAUAGGUGAACCUGCAAAAG